UCCUGACUGACCGAUAGUGAACCAGUACCGUGAGGGAAAGGCGAAAAGAACCCCGGCGAGGGGAGUGAAAAAGAACCUGAAACCGUGUACGUACAAGCAGUGGGAGCACGCUUAGGCGUGUGACUGCGUACCUUUUGUAUAAUGGGUCAGCGACUUAUAUUCUGUAGCAAGGUUAACCGAAUAGGGGAGCCGAAGGGAAACCGAGUCUUAACUGGGCGUUAAGUUGCAGGGUAUAGACCCGAAACCCGGUGAUCUAGCCAUGGGCAGGUUGAAGGUUGGGUAACACUAACUGGAGGACCGAACCGACUAAUGUUGAAAAAUUAGCGGAUGACUUGUGGCUGGGGGUGAAAGGCCAAUCAAACCGGGAGAUAGCUGGUUCUCCCCGAAAGCUAUUUAGGUAGCGCCUCGUGAAUUCAUCUCCGGGGGUAGAGCACUGUUUCGGCAAGGGGGUCAUCCCGACUUACCAACCCGAUGCAAACUGCGAAUACCGGAGAAUGUUAUCACGGGAGACACACGGCGGGUGCUAACGUCCGUCGUGAAGAGGGAAACAACCCAGACCGCCAGCUAAGGUCCCAAAGUCAUGGUUAAGUG
rnacentral:rRNA from 1 species